UACAGAGGUCCCAAGCGUUGUUCGGAUUCACUGGGCGUAAAGGGUGCGUAGGUGGUUGGGUAAGUCUGAUGUGAAAUCUCUGAGCUCAACUCAGAAACUGCAUUGGAUACUAUUCGGCUAGAGGAAUGGAGGGGGGACUGGAAUACUUGGUGUAGCAGUGAAAUGCGUAGAUAUCAAGUGGAACACCAGUGGCGAAGGCGAGUCCCUGGACAUUUCCUGACACUGAGGCACGAAAGCUAGGGGAGCAAACAGG
rnacentral:rRNA from 1 species